CCUGUUGCUAUUAGCAGAGAGAGACCAAGUUCUUCCAACUAGACUGUCCAAGAACAAAGCAGAACCUAAGAUGGCACAGUUUAAUGUUAAAGUUGAUUCCUCAGCAGAAGGAGUUCUAGACGUGAUCGAUUACUAUGACAGAGAAGGGGCUGCCUCUGCUAAGGGUACCUACACUAAGGCAAUGACAUAUGAAAUCCCUGGAUUUAUCGACAAACCAGGCAAGCGUCUUCCCAAGGUUGGAGCGUAUGCAGCUGCUGGAGUGGGGCUUGCCAAGGCAGAGUACAGUGUGUUUGAGGCUGAAGCCAAGGGGCCAAAUGCCUCUGCUGGGGCUUCAGUCUCUCUGGCAGGAGUUUCAGCAAUGGCCAGUGCAGAGAUCGCAAGUGCCUCCGCUUCUGCUGGUCCUAUCAAGGCAAAGAUAGGACUGGGUGUUGAUACUGGAGUGAAAGUAGGACUGGGUGGAGUUGAGGUGAGGGUACUGGGAACUGGGAUUAGCAUAGGACAAAAUCCUGCAGUCGCUGUACUUGGAAAUGAGGUGGAAUGCUCUGUUAUGUGACAACCAGAGUCCACCAUUUUCGCAUCAAGGUCUUGUCUUUAACAAGUGCAUGGUAACCACCGUAGAAGCUUAAAGUGUGUCCUUCAGCUGUUGUUUACUGUUGGAGUUGCUCCAACAAUAAAAGAUUGUAAAACCGUUGUCAAAAUGUAACAUUAAGUACAAUCAUUAAACAUUUCUUACAAACA